GGAUGUGAGGGCGAUCUGGCUGCGACAUCUGUCACCCCAUUGAUCGCCAGGGUUGAUUCGGCUGAUCUGGCUGGCUAGGCGGGUGUCCCCUUCCUCCCUCAACAAUCCAUGUGCGUCCCUCCCGAAGCUGCGCGCUCGGUCGAAGAGGACGACCACCCCCGAUAGAGGAGGACCGUUCCUCGGUCAAGGGUAUACGAGUAGCUGCGCUCCCCUGCUAGAACCUCCAAACAAGCUCUCAAAAUGUUUUACUUUCCCAGUCCCCAAAGUCUCACUUGAUAGAAUAGCUACACUACUUUUGUGGGGUAUACUUUUGU
rnacentral:snRNA from 1 species